rnacentral:rRNA from 1 species
UACGUAGGGUGCAAGCGUUAAUCGGAAUUACUGGGCGUAAAGCGUGCGCAGGCGGUUUUGUAAGUCUGUCGUGAAAUCCCCGGGCUCAACCUGGGAACUGCAUUUGGGACUGCAAGGCUUGAGUACGGUAGAGGGGGAUGGAAUUCCGCGUGUAGCAGUGAAAUGCGUAGAUAUGCGGAGGAACACCGAUGGCGAAGGCAAUCCCCUGGACCUGUACUGACGCUCAUGCACGAAAGCGUGGGGAGCAAACAGG